rnacentral:tRNA from 1 species
AUUCUUAUAGUUUAUAGAAAACAUGAUAGUGAAAAUAUCAAGAAAUUUAUUUUGAGAAUA